AUUGAACGCUGGCGGCAGGCCUAACACAUGCAAGUCGAACGGUAACAGGAAGCAGCUUGCUGCUUCGCUGACGAGUGGCGGACGGGUGAGUAAUGUCUGGGAAGCUGCCUGAUGGGGGGGGAUAACUACUGGAAACGGUAGCUAAUACCGCAUAAUGUCGCAAGACCAAAGAGGGGGACCUUCGGGCCUCUUGCCAUCGGAUGUGCCCAGAUGGGAUUAGCUUGUUGGUGGGGUAACGGCUCACCAAGGCGACGAUCCCUAGCUGGUCUGAGAGGAUGACCAGCCACACUGGAACUGAGACACGGUCCAGACUCCUACGGGAGGCAUCAGUGGGGAAUAUUGCACAAUGGGCGCAAGCCUGAUGCAGCCAUGCCGCGUGUAUGAAGAAGGCCUUCGGGUUGUAAAGUACUUUCAGCGGGGAGGAAGGGAGUAAAGUUAAUACCUUUGCUCAUUGACGUUACCCGCAGAAGAAGCACCGGCUAACUCCGUG
rnacentral:rRNA from 1 species